rnacentral:rRNA from 1 species
UACGUAGGUGGCAAGCGUUGUCCGGAUUUACUGGGCGUAAAGGGCGUGCAGGCGGUUUGUUAAGUGCAGGGUGAAAGCUCCCGGCUCAACUGGGGGAGGUCCUUGCAUACUGGCAAACUCGAGGGAGGCAGAGGAAAGUGGAAUUCCCGGUGUAGUGGUGAAAUGCGUAGAUAUCGGGAGGAACACCAGUGGCGAAGGCGGCUUUCUGGUCUGCUCUUGACGCUGAGGCGCGAAAGCUAGGGUAGCAAACGGG